rnacentral:rRNA from 1 species
GGUUUAAGCAUGUAGGCUGGUUGUCCAGGCAAAUCCGGAUAAUCAAGGCUGAGGUGUGAUGACGAGGCACUACGGUGCUGAAGUAACAAAUGCCCUGCUUCCAGGAAAAGCCUCUAAGCAUCAGGUAACAUCAAAUCGUACCCCAAACCGACACAGGUGGUCAGGUAGAGAAUACCAAGGCGCUUGAGAGAACUCGGGUGAAGGAACUAGGCAAAAUGGUGCCGUAACUUCGGGAGAAGGCACGCUGGUGUGUAGGUGAAGCCCCUGCGGGCGGAGCUGAGACCAGUCGAAGAUACCAGCUGGCUGCAACUGUUUAUUAAAAACACAGCACUGUGCAAACACGAAAGUGGACGUAUACGGUGUGACGCCUGCCCGGUGCCGGAAGGUUAAUUGAUGGGGUUAUCCGUAAGGAGAAGCUCUUGAUCGAAGCCCCGGUAAACGGCGGCCGUAACUAUAACGGUCCUAAGGUAGCGAAAUUCCUUGUCGGGUAAGUUCCGACCUGCACGAAUGGCGUAAUGAUGGCCAGGCUGUCUCCACCCGAGACUCAGUGAAAUUGAACUCGCUGUGAAGAUGCAGUGUACCCGCGGCAAGACGGAAAGACCCCGUGAACCUUUACUAUAGCUUGACACUGAACAUUGAGCCUUGAUGUGUAGGAUAGGUGGGAGGCUUUGAAGCGUGGACGCCAGUCUGCGUGGAGCCAACCUUGAAAUACCACCCUUUAAUGUUUGAUGUUCUAACGUUGGCCCCUUACCGGGGUUGCGGACAGUGUCUGGUGGGUAGUUUGACUGGGGCGGUCUCCUCCCAAAGCGUAACGGAGGAGCACGAAGGUUAGCUAAUCCUGGUCGGACAUCAGGAGGUUAGUGCAAUGGCAUAAGCUAGCUUGACUGCGAGCGUGACGGCGCGAGCAGGUGCGAAAGCAGGUCAUAGUGAUCCGGUGGUUCUGAAUGGAAGGGCCAUCGCUCAACGGAUAAAAGGUACUCCGGGGAUAACAGGCUGAUACCGCCCAAGAGUUCAUAUCGACGGCGGUGUUUGGCACCUCGAUGUCGGCUCAUCACAUCCUGGGGCUGAAGUAGGUCCCAAGGGUAUGGCUGUUCGCCAUUUAAAGUGGUACGCGAGCUGGGUUUAGAACGUCGUGAGACAGUUCGGUCCCUAUCUGCCGUGGGCGCUGGAGAAUUGAGGGGGGCUGCUCCUAGUACGAGAGGACCGGAGUGGACGCAUCACUGGUGUUCGGGUUGUCAUGCCAAUGGCACUGCCCGGUAGCUAAAUGCGGAAGAGAUAAGUGCUGAAAGCAUCUAAGCACGAAACUUGCCCCGAGAUGAGUUCUCCCUGAGACUUUAAGUCUCCUGAAGGAACGUUAAAGACGAUGACGUUGAUAGGCCGGGUGUGUAAGCGCAGCGAUGCGUUGAGCUAACCGGUACUAAUGAACCGUGAGGCUUAACC